rnacentral:rRNA from 1 species
UACGUAGGGUGCGAGCGUUGUCCGGAAUUAUUGGGCGUAAAGAGCUCGUAGGCGGUGUGUCGCGUCGGCCGUGAAAACCUGGGGCUCAACUCUGGGCGUGCGGUCGAUACGGGCAUCACUUGAGUUCGGCAGGGGAGACUGGAAUUCCUGGUGUAGCGGUGAAAUGCGCAGAUAUCAGGAGGAACACCGGUGGCGAAGGCGGGUCUCUGGGCCGAUACUGACGCUGAUGCGCGAAAGCGUGGGGAGCAAACAGG